AACGAACGUUGGCGGCGUGGAUGAGGCAUGCAAGUCGAACGCGAAAGCCGCAAGGCGAGUAAAGUGGCGGACGGGCGAGUGACACGUAAUCAAGCUACCUGCGAGACGGGAAUAACCUCGGGAAACCGAGGCUAAGACCCGAUGGUCUAUCCGGACUGCAUGGUUUGGAUAGUAAAUGGGCGGGAUCCUCCGGGAUCGCCUGCUCGCAGAGGUGAUUGCGGCCCAUCAGCUAGUUGGUAGGGUAAUGGCCUACCAAGGCAACGACGGGUAGCCGGCCUUAGAGGGUGGUCGGCCGCACUGGGACUGAGACACUGCCCAGACUCCUACGGGAGGCUGCAGUCGAGAAUCUUCCGCAAUGGGCGAAAGCCUGACGGAGCGACGCCGCGUGGAGGAUGAAGGCCUCGGUUGUAACGUACCUCGUCACGAGUUAAGAAGGGAAGUAGC
rnacentral:rRNA from 1 species